GACGAACGCUGGCGGCGUGCUUAACACAUGCAAGUCGAACGAUGAAGCCCCUUCGGGGGUGGAUUAGUGGCGAACGGGUGAGUAACACGUGGGCAAUCUGCCCUGCACUUCGGGACAAGCCCUGGAAACGGGGUCUAAUACCGGAUACAACCUCCUUGGGCAUCCUUGGGGGUGGAAAGCUUCGGCGGUGCAGGAUGAGCCCGCGGCCUAUCAGCUUGUUGGUGGGGUGAUGGCCUACCAAGGCGACGACGGGUAGCCGGCCUGAGAGGGCGACCGGCCACACUGGGACUGAGACACGGCCCAGACUCCUACGGGAGGCAGCAGUGGGGAAUAUUGCACAAUGGGCGGAAGCCUGAUGCAGCGACGCCGCGUGAGGGAUGACGGCCUUCGGGUUGUAAACCUCUUUCAGCAGGGAAGAAGCGCAAGUGACGGUACCUGCAGAAGAAGCACCGGCUAACUACGUGCCAGCCGCCGCCGUAACAC
rnacentral:rRNA from 1 species